rnacentral:rRNA from 1 species
GCAGCCGCGGUAUUACGUAGGGUGCGAGCGUUAUUCGGAAUUACUGGGCGUAAAGCGUGCGCAGGCGGUUAUGCAAGACAGAUGUGAAAUCCCCGGGCUCAACCUGGGAACUGCAUUUGUGACUGCAUGGCUAGAGUACGGUAGAGGGGGAUGGAAUUCCGCGUGUAGCAGUGAAAUGCGUAGAUAUGCGGAGGAACACCGAUGGCGAAGGCAAUCCCCUGGGCCUGUACUGACGCUCAUGCACGAAAGCGUGGGGAGCAAACA